UAACAGCUUUCCCCUAUCAUUUUAAAACUAAAACAAUUUCCAAUUAUAGUCCCAUCUUACUCACUUUUCUUAAUAUUCUCAAUCAAUCAAUCUUUAUUACGGUCAGAGACCCAACAAAUCAUUACAAAUCAAUACACAAUUCCUACAGCCUAUUAUAUUCUAAAUCCCAUUAUUUAAUUAUAACUUAAUCCUAGGUCUAUUUAUUUCUUUCAAUUAAUUUCUAAUUUUUAUAUUACAAUAUUUAUUCAAAUAGUGCUUAAAUUUCCUUCCAGUCCUCUUGAAACUCCUCUUCUUUCUGGUCUCGGAUUCUUGCAGUCAGGUCAGCUAGCUCCGAAAAAGUUCCAUCAUCUUCAUCUGGCCAAUCUUCCACUGUUGGUAGUCCUUGUGUUCAUUAUCCACCCUCUCUACUUUAUUUCCUGAUUGCAUCGACAUCCUUUUCUAUGCCAGCCUUCUUUAUAUCUACUUCAACCAAGUUGCAUUCCAGCUUUCUGGAAAGGAAACAAGCAAAAACCCCAAUCUAUUGCAGAAUUGCGUCUUCCAACAAACAGAGCUUCUCUUUUGCAAGACGUUUGGAAGUGAGAACUACAAAUCCCAGCAUCCAUUGCGAGGAGAGGGGCAUCCAUAUGGUUCUUCCCUUCCCUACACUUCCGGUCUGGUUUGCAAGGAGUCUUAAUUUCGCAGCUGGGUUGUUUUGUCUGUUUCUGGGAGCGAUCACUGGUUUUACAGGUUGCUUUGCGUUUGGAACAAAAGGGGUCGAGAUUCUGCCAGUCAUUUCCGCCAGUUCCAUAUAGUCCAUCACCUUCAUCUGCCAUUCUUCCAGGGUAGGUAAAUCUUGUGUCUUCCAAUACUUUGCAAUAAGUACUCUCACUGCUGUUGUAGCAUACAUAAAGAAAGUUCUAUCCUUCUUUGGCACCAAUUGGCCGACCAUGCCCAGGAGAAAGGCCUCUGGUUUCUUCAGGAAGGACUCCCCCUAUUCUGGAUCCGUUGCCCCCGCAAUGGAACUGUCACCCCCAAAACCGUG
rnacentral:lncRNA from 1 species